CAAGAGAAUGGAUUGUCUAAUUUUUAGGAGCCAACAAAUGCUCAUUAAUCAAUGCCCCACGGAAGAACAUGAGAAGACAGUGUUGGCAUUUAAAACAAUAACUGUGGCCAUUACCAGGCCCCAGGAUGGACAGAUAGGGACAAGGACAGGGAUACCCAGCAUUUCUCUGAGAGCUGGUGCAAGAGGAUUAAUCCUGAAGGGCUCAUUUCUGAUUCUCCUCUGCUGGACAAAGAAUGACUGAGUUGGAACCUCAGAGGGUGCAAGUCAAGGUGCCAAGAGUAAGAUGCCAGUUUCGGUCUGUAAGCAAGUGUUUCUGGGGGUGAGGGAAGGUCAGGGGAAACCUGACCACUGGACAGGAGUGAGGCAGGUACAGUGCAUUGCUCCAGGUGUCAUGCAAAGCUAGAAAGUCAGCAUUUCCUCUGUUGUUUUGAUCCUCCUUAUACAACCCAAAGCCAACAGAGGAUUUCAACUUCCCCAAAUUUCUGCCCUGAGCAUUAAACAACUUUUUCCUAUGCUAAAUUUGGUUUUAGUUUUGAAGUGCCUGAGAUGCACAAUUCAAAGGGGUCAAGUUCCUGGCCUCUUAUGUUGAUGAAACCAUCCCCAAUCCUCAGCUUACAUGGCUUGCCCCUAUGCCUACCACCUCUUAUAGCUCUUCCAUCCAUCAUUCAAGAGGUUCCAUGAAGAAAGCUC
rnacentral:lncRNA from 1 species